AUUGAAUUAUAGUAAUUGCAAAUGUUCAAAAGCUGAUACUCUGCAAUAUGUUUGGAUUUUUGUAUUAGCUUGUUUUAAAUUAUGCUGUGCUUAGUACCAAUUUGAGGCGUAAAAACGUUGUCAAGUACAUGGAACUUUAAUUUUAUAGUUAAAAUUACAAUAAUCUUAUUAAAUGGUCAAUAAACUUCUUGAUAUUGAACCAUGAUUAAAACAAUUUGACGAUAAUGAACCAUACUUAUGCGCCUGUCCCAAGUCAGGAGCCUGUAAUUCAGUGGUUGUGGUUUGUUUAUGUGUUAUAUAUUUGUUUUUCGUUCAUUUUUUUUUUACAUAAAUAAG
rnacentral:lncRNA from 1 species